CACGGGGGGAGCGAACGUUGUUCGGAAUCACUGGGCGUAAAGGGCGUGUAGGCGGUUCGGUAAGUGGAAUGUGAAAUCCCCCGGCUUACCCGGGGAACUGCAUCCCAUACUGCUGGACUUGAGUGCGGGAGAGGAUGGAGGAAUUCCUGGUGUAGCGGUGAAAUGCGUAGAUAUCAGGAAGAACACCAAUGGCGAAGGCAGCUCUCUGGGACGGUACUGACGCUGAGACGCGAAAGCGUGGGGAGCGAACAGG
rnacentral:rRNA from 1 species